rnacentral:rRNA from 1 species
UGCGUAGGCGGACCCGAACGCGUCCCGUGAAAUCCCCCGGCUCAACCGGGGAACUGCGGGGCGAACGGUGGGUCUCGAGGCAGGUAGGGGUCGCCGGAACCGUAGGUGGAGCGGUGAAAUGCGUAGAUAUCUACGGGAACGCCGAUGGUGAAGACGGGCGACUGGGCCUGUCCUGACGCUGAGGCACGAAAGCGUGGGGAGCAAACA